rnacentral:rRNA from 1 species
UGGGGAAUUUUGCACAAUGGGGGAAACCCUGAUGCAGCGACGCCGCGUGAUUUAGAAGGCCUUCGGGUUGUAAAAAUCUUUUCUAUGGGAAGAAAAUGACAGUACCAUAGGAAUAAGGACCGGCUAAUUACGUGCCCGCAGCCGCGGUAAUACGUAAGGUCCGAGCGUUGUCCGGAAUCAUUGGGCGUAAAGGGUACGUAGGCGGGUAAGCAAGUUAGAAGUGAAAUCCUAUAGCUCAACUAUAGUAAGCUUUUAAAACUGCUCAUCUUGAGGUAUGGAAGGGAAAGUGGAAUUCCUAGUGUAGCGGUGAAAUGCGCAGAUAUUAGGAGGAAUACCGGUGGCGAAGGCGACUUUCUGGCCAUAACCUGACGCUGAGGUACGAAAGCGUGGGUAGCAAACAGG